GAUUUUCUUCUCUGCAGCUUGAAGUAUCGUUAAGACCCCGCUGAAGGAGCCACCUGCAGUAGCGAGCCCUGGCUGAAGCAUCGUGUGGUUCAUGAAUAUUUGAUGGGCCCACAGUGUAACACCAAGAAGCAUCCUGACCCCGCUUGGAUGGAGGCAAGGGCCGCUAAGGCUGAGGCAAGAUGCUAUGACAAGUCACGGAAACUCUGAGGAGGGAAAGAAUGGAGACCUGGAGACCUGACUUCAUAGCCAAAUCUCUAUCCUUAGCACCUCUGUUAUAUCCCCUGCUUCUCUGAGUGAUAACGCUGUGAUGACCAGAGGGGACACUCAGCCAGUACCCCAGCACAAAGAACGAGAGAGAACAGAUGCCAAUGUAAGAUCCACAGUAGCAUUGCUACUUUCAAAUCAUCCUGAGGAAAAGCUCCAACAAACAAACCUAGGGUCAUUAAAAACAAAACACGGUCCUUAUUGUAAAAGACUACAGAAAAAACGUUUGUUUUGACUGAAGCAGUUUAACAGAAAUACUUAACUCAGAUAUUCCUGAAGCCCAAGGAAUACUCUAGAAGAAAGAAUUACAGAUUUAUUUUUUAAAGUAAAUA
rnacentral:lncRNA from 1 species